rnacentral:tRNA from 1 species
GCCCAAGUGGCGGAAUUGGUUUACGCGCACGACUCAAAAUCGUGUGGUCGCAAGACCGUGUGGGUUCGAGUCCCACCUUGGGCA